rnacentral:rRNA from 1 species
UACGUAGGGUGCGAGCGUUGUCCGGAAUUACUGGGCGUAAAGAGCUCGUAGGUGGUUUGUCGCGUCGUCUGUGAAAUUCCGGGGCUUAACUUCGGGCGUGCAGGCGAUACGGGCAAUACUUGAGUGCUGUAGGGGAGACUGGAAUUCCUGGUGUAGCGGUGGAAUGCGCAGAUAUCAGGAGGAACACCGAUGGCGAAGGCAGGUCUCUGGGCAGUAACUGACGCUGAGGCACGAAAGCGUAGGGAGCAAACAGGAUUAGAUA